rnacentral:rRNA from 1 species
CGGGCCUUGCGCUGAUGGAUAAGCCCAGGUGGGAUUAGCUAGUAGGUGAGGUAAAGGCUCACCUAGGCGACGAUCCCUAGCUGGUCUGAGAGGAUGAUCAGCCACACUGGGACUGAGACACGGCCCAGACUCCUACGGGAGGCAGCAGUGGGGAAUAUUGCACAAUGGGGGAAACCCUGAUGCAGCCAUGCCGCGUGUGUGAAGAAGGCCUUCGGGUUGUAAAGCACUUUCAGCGAGGAGGAAAGGGUGUAAGUUAAUACCUUACAUCUGUGACGUUACUCGCAGAAGAAGCACCGGCUAACUCCGUGCCAGCAGCCGCGGUAAUACGGAGGGUGCGAGCGUUAAUCGGAAUUACUGGGCGUAAAGCGUGCGCAGGCGGUUUGUUAAGCGAGAUGUGAAAGCCCCGGGCUCAACCUGGGAACCGCAUUUCGAACUGGCAAACUAGAGUCUUGUAGAGGGGGGUAGAAUUCCAGGUGUAGCGGUGAAAUGCGUAGAGAUCUGGAGGAAUACCGGUGGCGAAGGCGGCCCCCUGGACAAAGACUGACGCUCAGGCACGAAAGCGUGGGGAG